rnacentral:rRNA from 1 species
UACGAAGGGGGCUAGCGUUGCUCGGAAUCACUGGGCGUAAAGGGUGCGUAGGCGGGUCUUUAAGUCAGGGGUGAAAUCCUGGAGCUCAACUCCAGAACUGCCUUUGAUACUGAAGAUCUUGAGUUCGGGAGAGGUGAGUGGAACUGCGAGUGUAGAGGUGAAAUCGUAGAUAUUCGCAAGAACACCAGUGGCGAAGGCGGCUCACUGGCCCGAUACUGACGCUGAGGCACGAAAGCGUGG